UUCUCAUUUAUUCAAAUUCACUGCAGGAGGUAAACACUAAAAGAUUAAAAAACAAAACAAAAAAUUCACACUGCAGUAUGUACAUUUUCAUGACAUCACAUGAAGAAAUUAAGUUUCUAAUAAAAAUGACAAAUUAUAUACUGAGAGCGCAUCAAAAUUGGUUGUGUAAACCCCAGAAUUCAUACCAUGAAUGGUAAUGUGCCUGCAUUCCAGCGUACUGGAACACUCCUGGUAUAAUGUUCCAAUGGGAUUAAAAAACUCAUGAAAGUAGUUGUGUGAACUCUUUAUGUUGAAAAGUGGUUGACUUGAUUUUAAAAAGUUUUAAGACCCUUGGAUUCAAAGCACAUUCUUUCACAAAUUUAAACCACAGAAGUCAUGUCCAGAAAUGGAAUACUGUCAUGUUGGGAUGAACAUCUGAUUUGACUGAAGACAUUUUGCCAAAUGCAGAGAUGCACAGGGUCCCCCAUGCACUUUUCAUGCAGCAGGUAAUCACAACUUAAAUAAAAGGUUUAUUCUAUACAUUUGUCCAGACUUGCAACUGUAUACAUACAUGCACGAUUUUAAACCUGUCUGAUUAUAUUUACACUUAUACAUGGAAAUAUACAGAAAGCAAAGAGAUUAAAAGGCUUUUCAGUUGCAUUAGAACAAUACAAAAUACGUAUUUCUCAUUAAGGAAAUCACUAUUUACAUCACCUUUAAAAACCGAUUUUAACAUCUUCAUGUAACAAGUCAAUAUAUUAUAUAUAUAUAUAUAUAUAUAUAAAAUAUAUACUCUCACCAGUUUACUCUUCUGUAGGAUGCAGCAGAGAAUAAACUGGUAAUGCUACCUUACUGAUGUCAAUGAGAGCUGUAGUACCUUUCACAAAUGACUUCAUCAGGAAAUUGUCUAGAUAUCUAAAAUAGUCCUUGAAAAUGUGCGUAUGUGUACCCCUGUACCUACAUAGGCAUAAACAAAGUGAAUUUAUGGGUAUAUGCCUUUCUCACUGCUUUUCUUUAAAAUUACCUUAAACUCAAAUUGGGGACCUUCAGUAAAUUAGAACAGCAUUCUGUGUGGUCAUGUUCAUGUAUUACAUAUCCUCAUUCCUUUAACUGUUAGUAACAACAGAAACAACUAACCAACCAAAGAAACACACACACAAAAUAACAGCAAUGCUGGCCCUUGAUGUUCUUUUCCCUGACCUAGAUUUCAUGCUUUUUUAAAAGCUCAUUUUUUCCUAGCGUACCUCCAAGGCUCCAGAUUAUUUCACAAUGGCAGAAAAAAAUGACUUGUUUAAAAGCUUACUGAAAUAGUGUAGACAACAUGAUUGCCACAGCAUCAGUAUGGGAUGGAGCGGAACAGGCGCACUGGCCAGUGGGAUUUUCAUUUCAGAAUAAGCAUGACUUCAUUUCCCCAUGAUGUAGCAUAAUAUUCCCUCCUAUUAUUUCAUAAUAUAUUCAGUAACUAUUUACAAAUCACUCUGAGAAAAAAAAUAAAUUUAGGGUUUUAGAUCAUAUUAGGAAAUAACGCCCAUUUUUAAUAUAAAAAUCUUAGAAACAACUUCAAGUAGAACAACUUCAAAGAGAAUUCCUUCUAAUAGUUGAUUAUAUAACAAAAUUUUUGAUAGGUCAGUUGUUAACCUGUUCGCAAUUAAAAACAAAAGUAUCUGGUGAAAGAAUUGUGAAUUGUGGAAACUGAACUUAAAAACACGGACUUGUUUCAAGAUCGAAACCCCAGGUGGCUCAAUAAUGUAUACAUUCUUCCAAGACAACAUCGAUGCUUACUUUUAACCACUACUGUAAAGCACAUCAGUGCAGUGACUGUGUGGAAUUCUAUUCUGUCAUGUAUAUGUGCCCUUUGCACUUUUCUUUUUAGUUGAGCUGAGUUUAGUGCCUUUCUUGGGUUUGAAAUAAAUGUUCCAUGUUUGUCAACAUUGUUCUUAGAAUAAUGAUUUUAAUAGAAGUUAAGGAUGUAUUCAGGAGAAGUUUCUAAACCAUCCUAAAAUCACCUGAGUUUGGUAAGUGGCCCUGUUAUUCCAUUCCCUAAGGCUAAUUAAGUAGAUGUUACUCAUUAGAACACAUAAAUCACAGAUUUUCCUGAGUUGUUGAGCCAGAUAUGAAAGUUUCCCCUCCACCCAUUUUUUUUGUCAUAAAAAGUGCUCUGAACCCGAUUUCCAAAGAUAUAACGAUAAUAUAAACUACAAUAUUGCAAAUAUUUAGUUAGUAUGUGACUGUACUGGGGAAAAUAUAGGCAUCAAAUGGUUUUUUUUGUUUUUUUUUUAUAGUCCUGUGUUCUGUGAAGUUAUAAGCAAUGGUUCUCAAACUUCAGUGUGUAGAAGAAACACCUAGGGGGCUUCUUAAAUGUGUUCAGAUGCAGAUGGAAGACUCCCAGGUCCAUUAGCAGAGAUUCUUGUUCUGUAGCUCUGAGGCGCUGCCUAGGAAUGCACAUUUUAAAAUAAAUACUCCGGAUGGUUCUAAUGCAGGUGGCCUGAGUCUAGCUUUAAGAAACUUUGGCCAUAAGACUCACAGGGACCAGAGAUGGUGAAACUGCCCAAAGAAAAGCCAUUUUGCUUCUGUUAAAAACAACUUCUUAAAUUUUCAGCUAUUCAGGAAACCACCUGAAGAUAAAUGUUAACUUUCUUAAUUCUGUAAAAGGAGGAAUAUUAAUUUAAUAAAGUAGUUAAAAUACAAAACUGAAAAUCUGCCCCUUUUUUUUAAAGGAUCUAUCAAACUUCAAUCAAUUGGUAUCAAUUUUUACUAAGUAGUACAAGGUUUAAAGAAAUAGAUAUUGCAAAGGACCAGGGUGGGGAAGACACAAUGGGAACCACAAAAUCCUUUCCAAGAGUUAAAAAUAAAUGUUUGUUUGUUUUUAGCAAAAGUGAAAAAUGUAAGCACAUUUUUUUCUAAUUUACUUUUGAAUUGAUAAUGAAAAGUGAAUCAGCACUAAGUUUUUUAUUCAAUAAUUAUCCUUUAGAGAGUUAUUUAACA